rnacentral:rRNA from 1 species
AUGACGGUGAAGGAAAACAUUCUCUAUUUAAAUCAUGAAUGGUUGAAAGAAAUUACAGAUACUUUUUCGGAUCAGCGAAGAAUUGGUGAAGGCACAUAUGGAGUAGUUUAUAAGGGCGCUUCGAAUGAAGAGGAGUUUGCUGUAAAGAAGCUCUAUAACUUAACUCGAAAUGAUGACAAGCAGUUUCAUCUUGGACUUGAUGAGCUUGAUAAGGUUCAGCAUAAGAACAUUGUAAGGCUAGUCGGCUACUGCAAUGAAAUAAGGCAUCGUUAUGCAGAGUACAAGGGAGAAACUGUUUGUGCCGAAGUAAUAGAAAGGGCACUCGUCCUGGAAUAUUGUGACAAUGGAAGCCUCCGGCUACUUCUUUCCGAUGACUACAAUGGCCUUGACUGGCCCACCCGUUAUAAAAUUAUCAAGGGGACAUGCGAUGGUUUGGAAUAUCUUCAUGGGCAGAAUCCACCAUUUUGCCAUUUGAACAUAAAGCCUGAUAACAUACUACUGGAUAAAUAUAUGGAGCCCAAACUUUCAGAUGGUUUGUCCAGGUUGUUCCACCGUGAAGUGUCCCGCAAUACAGUGUUGGCUAAAACAACAGUUGCAUACGUGUCACCAGAAUACAGGUAUGACGGCCAAAUUUCACUAAAAUGCGACAUAUACAGCAUUGGUGUUGUAAUGCUAGAGAUAGUCGCGGGAUCCACUGGACGUUCCAAAUGCCUCGAAAUGCCUCGCCAGGACUUCAUUGAUUUAGUACGUGGAAACUGGAGGAACAGGUUGCGACUAAUAUUCAGGGGUUCCACACUUGAUGCAUAUUGCCAACAAGUGGAGAGAUGCACUGAGAUAGCACUGAACUGUAUGGAGAUUGAUCUGCACAAAAGGCCCCAUAUAGUAGAUAUCACUAUUAUACUGAACAAGACUGAAACUCAUGAGGGCUUUGAUGACCCCAAAGUAUGGAAGAUGUCAUUCAAGGAGUUGCAAGUAAUCACGAAUGAUUUCUCAGAAGAAAUUGGUAAAGGUGCCUUCGGUGUUGUUUAUAAGGAAUGCUUAAAAAUGGGGAAGCAGUAG